UAUAGCACCGUAAAGAAAAGACCCUUACGACAGCAAGUGUGGUAAAAGUACUACCGCUGUUGUCCAAAGUUGCCGCUAGAAUCAACACAAACUGGAAGUUCCGUAUAGCCACUUUAAUGAAAAAGUACAAGUCAACAGCCAAAAU